AUACAGGGGGUGCGAGCGUUAAUCGGAAUUACUGGGCGUAAAGAGUACGUAGGCGGUUGCUUAAGUCAGAUGUGAAAGCCCCGGGCUCAACCUGGGAACUGCAAUUGAAACUGAGUGACUAGAGUUUAAGAGAGGGGAGUAGAAUUCCGGGUGUAGCGGUGAAAUGCGUAGAGAUCCGGAGGAAUACCAGUGGCGAAGGCGGCUCCCUGGCUUAAAACUGACGCUGAGGUACGAAAGCGUGGGUAGCAAACAGGAUUAGAAACCCGAGUAGUCC
rnacentral:rRNA from 1 species